GAUGAACGCUGGCGGCGUGCCUAAUACAUGCAAGUCGAGCGAACAGACGAGGAGCUUGCUCCUCUGACGUUAGCGGCGGACGGGUGAGUAACACGUGGAUAACCUACCUAUAAGACUGGGAUAACUUCGGGAAACCGGAGCUAAUACCGGAUAAUAUAUUGAACCGCAUGGUUCAAUAGUGAAAGACGGUUUUGCUGUCACUUAUAGAUGGAUCCGCGCCGCAUUAGCUAGUUGGUAAGUUAACGGCUUACCAAGGCAACGAUGCGUAGCCGACCUGAGAGGGUGAUCGGCCACACUGGAACUGAGACACGGUCCAGACUCCUACGGGAGGAAGCAGUAGGGAAUCUUCCGCAAUGGGCGAAAGCCUGACGGAGCAACGCCGCGUGAGUGAUGAAGGUCUUCGGAUCGUAAAACUCUGUUAUUAGGGAAGAACAAAUGUGUAAGUAACUAUGCACGUCUUGACGGUACCUAAUCAGAAAGCCACGGCUAACUACGUG
rnacentral:rRNA from 1 species